AGCUGAAUGACACAUCCUCCAUCUAAUGCAUUUUGUGUGUGUGUGUGUGUGUGUGUGUGUGAGAGAGCGAGAAUGGGAUACAUGAGAGAGUUUUGCCACCACAUCUGGCCCUGCGUGUUAAGAGGUCAGGGGUCUGCUGGGUCUUUGGAGCCGUUGCUUGUAUGUGUCUGGAGUGGAGCUGCAGGUGAACGCUACAGGCUAACAUAAUCACAGAUCAGUAGUCUCAUCUUGGACUCCAUCUGGAUGAAUCCUGUUAAAAUUGAUUUUACAUCCAGGCUGCAUUCCCCAUGCAGGACCACUGAAGAAGAUCUGCGCAGGUGGCUUCUGUGUGGAGAACAAAGAAAGUGCUCAGAGACGUCCUUGGACAAAAGAGGAGAAAGACAGUGCUCUUUGGAUAGGAGGCCUCUGAGAUCCAAGGUAUCACACAGCAUCAUGGCAGUCUAUAAGAGGGUGGUCCGUCUUCCUGCCACAAAUGAGCUGGAGGUGAUUGAUGAAGGCGUUCCUUCCGUCAAGUGGCCUGAAC